AUUGAACGCUGGCGGCAGGCCUAACACAUGCAAGUCGAGCGGAUGAAGGGAGCUUGCUCCUGGAUUCAGCGGCGGACGGGUGAGUAAUGCCUAGGAAUCUGCCUGGUAGUGGGGGAUAACGUCCGGAAACGGGCGCUAAUACCGCAUACGUCCUGAGGGAGAAAGUGGGGGAUCUUCGGACCUCACGCUAUCAGAUGAGCCUAGGCCGGAUUAGCUAGUUGGUGGGGUAAAGGCCUACCAAGGCGACGAUCCGUAACUGGUCUGAGAGGAUGAUCAGUCACACUGGAACUGAAACACGGUCCAGACUCCUACGGGAGGCAGCAGUGGGGAAUAUUGGACAAUGGGCGAAAGCCUGAUCCAGCCAUGCCGCGUGUGUGAAGAAGGUCUUCGGAUUGUAAAGCACUUUAAGUUGGGAGGAAGGGCAGUAAGUUAAUACCUUGCUGUUUUGACGUUACCAACAGAAUAAGCACCGGCUAACUUCGUG
rnacentral:rRNA from 1 species